GUCCUGUGCAAUUGUGUGUUGGUUCAGCUAGACUGCCUACCACAUUGGCACGUAAGGCCUAUGAACAAAUAAUCACCAUUGACUGGGCGCAAGCAACCCUAGUAAAACCAACGCACAAUUGCGCAGGGCUGGGUGCAGUGGGGGCUGUGUAGGUGGAGAGGGUGAGGCUCUCUCAUGAUAUUGUCAACGAAUGGCACCCUCCUCGCACUCCCUGUAUCAUGGAGGUGGUGUGCGAUCGACAAUAUAUGACUUCGACUGUCACUCCAGAUCUACCAUAUACAAUAUAUAUUCCACAACCACUUGGGAUUGCCUUUGCAACUGGAGGGCUGGCCUGCGACGCCUACCGGAGCGUGGCCCUUCUGCGGCCUGCAGUGUUUGCGCCGUGAGCGUGGAGGGAGGGCAUAGGAGCCCCGUAGGGACAAG
rnacentral:lncRNA from 1 species